rnacentral:tRNA from 1 species
ACUUAAAUAGUUUAUAAAAAAUUUUAAUUUGUGGAGUUAAGGAUGUAAGAGUUUACUUUAAGUA